GAUGAACGCUGGCUGCAUGCCUAAUACAUGCAAGUCGAGCGAACAGACGAGGAGCUUUCUCCUCUGACGUUAUCGACGGACGGACGGGUAACACAUGGGUAACCUACCUAUAAGACUGGGGUAACUUCCGGAAACCAGGUCAAAUACCUACUAAUAGAUUUAACCUCAUGGUUUCAUAGUAGAAUACAGGUUUUCUUUCACUUGGAGAGGGAUGCGCGCGGAAUUAGCUAUGUGGUAAGGUAACGGCUUACCGAGGCAACGAAGCGUAGGCGAUCUGAGGGGAUGAUCGGCCCCACUGGAACUGAGACACGGUCCAGACCACUACGGGAGGCAGCAGUAGGGAAUGUUCCGCAAUGGGCGAAAGCCUGACGGAGCAACGCCGCGUGAGUGAUGAAGGUCUUCGCAUCGUAAAACUCUGUUAUUAUGGAAGAACAAAUGUGUAAGUAACUAUGCACGUCUUGACGGUACCUAAUCAGAAAGCCACGGCUAACUCCGUG
rnacentral:rRNA from 1 species